UACGGAGGGUGCAAGCGUUAUCCGGAUUCACUGGGUUUAAAGGGUGCGUAGGCGGAUAUUUAAGUCGGGGGUGAAAGCCCAGGGCUCAACCCUGGAAUUGCCUUCGAUACUGGAUAUCUAGAGUAUGGGAGAGGUGUGUGGAACUCCGAGUGUAGAGGUGAAAUUCGUAGAUAUUCGGAAGAACACCAGUGGCGAAGGCAGCCCCCUGGGUCAAGAUUGACGCUCAUGCACGAAAGCGUGGGGAGCAAACGAGGAUUAGAA
rnacentral:rRNA from 1 species